rnacentral:rRNA from 1 species
GAUGAACGCUGGCGGCGUGCCUAACACAUGCAAGUCGAGCGAUUCUCUUCGGAGAAGAGCGGCGGACGGGUGAGUAACGCGGGGGUAACCUGCCCUGUACACACGGAUAACAUACCGAAAGGUAUGCUAAUACGGGAUAAUAUGCUUUAGUCGCAUGGCUGAAGUAUCAAAGCUCCGGCGGUACAGGAUGGACCCGCGUCUGAUUAGCUAGCUGGUAAGGUAAUGGCUUACCAAGGCGAAGAUCAGUAGCCGACCUGAGAGGGUGAUCGGCCAAAUUGGAACUGAGACACUGUCCAAACACCUUCUGAAAGGAGCGGAAGGGAAUAUUGCACAAUGUGCAAAAGCCUGAAGCAUAAACGCCGCGUGAGCGAUGAACGCCUUCGGGUCGUAACGCUCUGUCCUCAAGGAAGAUAAUGGCGGUACUUGAGGAGGAAGCCCCGGCUAACUACGUGCCAGCAGCCGCGGUAA